AACGCACCUUGCGCCUCUUGGUAUUCCGAGAGGCAUGCCUGUUUGAGUGUCAUGAAAUCUCAAUCCCCUCGGGUUUUAGGACCCGGGUCGGACUUGGACAUGGGCGUCUGCCGGUCAAACGGCUCGCCUCAAAUGACUUAGUGGAUCUCUCAGCAUCCGUGACAGACGUAAUAAGUUUCGUCUUGUCCUUUGCAGAUGAGUCCGCUCACAACCUGCCAUCGCGCACUUUUAGACUCUGACCUCAAAUCAGGUAGGACUACCCGCUGAACUUAA
rnacentral:misc_RNA from 1 species